rnacentral:lncRNA from 1 species
GCGAAUAAUCUUGAUUCAACAAAUAAAUAUUCCGAGUAAAUAAACUAUUGCUAAUAAUUACAGUACCGUAUGAACAAGCUGUAAUUGGGAAUGUAUUUAUACUAGGAACACUAACUGUAGUAAUAAGAUAAAACAACUCUCAUCUGAGAAAAGAAAUAAGAUUUAAGAAAUCUCACAGAAACAAGAUUUAGGAAAUCUCACAGAAAUAAGAUUUUGAUCCCGGAUCAGCUGCAGACAAGCCACCAUUCCACAAGCGGCGCCGUCGUACCAAUCACCUCGCCGUUGCUUGCGUGCUCGAUUUAUCGCCCUAACACCAAGGCGACAUAACAUCACCGGGAGCGGAGGAUGAAAUGGCGCCGCCACCAAGAUCCACACACGGCUAGCUGCAUCCUAGAUCUGCGUCGGCGCUAGUGACGCUCCUACUUGUUCGCUCGAGAUUGUCCAACGGCA